AGUGAACGCUGGUGGUAGGCCUAACACAUGCAAGUCGAACGGCAGCACAGUAAGAGCUUGCUCUUACGGGUGGCGAGUGGCGGACGGGUGAGGAAUACAUCGGAAUCUACUUUUUCGUGGGGGAUCACGUAGGGAAACUUACGCUCAUACCGCAUACGACCUACGGGUGAAAGCAGGGGAUCUUCGGACCUUGCGCGAUUGAAUGAGCCGAUGUCGGAUUAGCUAGUUGGCGGGGUAAAUGCCCACCAAGGCGACGAUCCGUAGCUGGUCUGAGAGGAUGAUCAGCCACACUGGAACUGAGACACGGUCCAGACUCCUACGGGAGGCAGCAGUGGGGAAUAUUGGACAAUGGGCGCAAGCCUGAUCCAGCCAGACCGCGUGGGUGAAGAAGGCCUUCGGGUCGUAAAGCCCUUUUGUUGGGAAAGAAAAGCAGCAGGUUAAUACCCCGCUGUUCUGACGGUACCCAAAGAAUAAGCACCGGCUAACUUCGUG
rnacentral:rRNA from 1 species